AUACGGAGGAUCCGAGCGUUAUCCGGAUUUAUUAGGUUUAAAGGGUGCGCAGGCGGAACUGUAAGUCACCGGUGAAAUCCUACAGCUUAACUGUAGAACUGCCGGUGAUACUGCGAUUCUUGAGUAUAGUUGAGGUAGGCGGAAUGUGUAGUGUAGCGGUGAAAUGCAUAGAUAGUAAACAGAACACCGAUUGCGAAGGCAGCUUACUAAACUAUUACUGACGCUCAUGCACGAAAGCGUGGGGAGCGAACAGGAUUAGAAACCCCAGUAGUCC
rnacentral:rRNA from 1 species